GGUGACCUGCGGAAGGAUCAUUACCAAGAGAAAUCUUUCAACACUGAAAGAUCUUUUCCUUUGUGCUGGCUUUGACCGUAUGUAAUUUUGGGACUUUAAAAUGGUUCGCAAGGGCCGGUCCCAAAAACAAUAUAUCAUCCUUAUGAAAUUUUUUCUGAACAAUUAAACAAAUGAUUUUAAUAAUCUGUUUAAAACAACUUUCAACAACGGAUCUCUUGGUUCUCGCAUCGAUGAAGAACGCAGCGAAAUGCGAUACGUAAUGUGAAUUGCAGAAUUCAGUGAAUCAUCGAAUCUUUGAACGCACAUUGCACUCCUUGGUAUUCCGAGGAGUAUGCCUGUUUCAGUAUCAUGAGCACUCUCACACCUAACCUUUGGGUUUAUGGCGUGGAAUUGGAAUGCGCCGACUGUCAUGGUUGGCCCUUCUAAAAUGUAGUUCUUGGCUGUCACCUAAUACAGCAGUUUGGCCUAAUAGUUUUGGCAUUCAUUGUCAAAUCUUUGGUUAACAUUUGCUCCAGGAGUCAGUCUUGAUAAUACAGAAAACUCAUUCAAAUUUUGAUCUGAAAUCAGGUAGGGCUACCCGCUGAACUUCAGCAUAUCAAUAAGCGGAGGAAAAGAAACUAACAAGGAUUCCCCUAGUAACGGCGAGUGAAGCGGGAAGAGCUCAAAUUUAAAAUCUGGUUUGCUUUGCAAAUCCGAGUUGUAGUCUGAAGAAACGUUUUCCAUGAAAGCUGAGGCACAAGUCUUUUGGAACAGGCAUCAUAGAGGUGAGAAUCCCGUCCAUGGUCUCAAGCUUUCAUUUUGUGAUACGUUUUCUAA
rnacentral:rRNA from 1 species